UGGGGAAUUUUGCGCAAUGGGCGAAAGCCUGACGCAGCAACGCCGCGUGUGUGAUGAAGGUCUUCGGAUUGUAAAGCACUUUCGACCGGGACGAAAACCCGUUGGCUAACAUCCAACGGCUUGACGGUACCGGGAGAAGAAGCACCGGCUAACUCUGUGCCAGCAGCCGCGGUAAUACAGAGGGUGCAAGCGUUGUUCGGAAUUAUUGGGCGUAAAGCGCGUGUAGGCGGCUUUGCAAGUCGGGUGUGAAAGCCCUCAGCUCAACUGAGGAAGUGCGCCCGAAACUGCAGAGCUUGAGUGCCGGAGAGGGUGGCGGAAUUCCCCAAGUAGAGGUGAAAUUCGUAGAUAUGGGGAGGAACACCGGUGGCGAAGGCGGCCACCUGGACGGUAACUGACGCUGAGACGCGAAAGCGUGGGGAGCGAAAACAGGAUUAGAUACCCUGGUAGUCCACGCCGUAAACGAUGAGAACUAGGUGUCGUGGGUGUUGACCCCCGCGGUGCCGUAGCUAACG
rnacentral:rRNA from 1 species